rnacentral:rRNA from 1 species
GACGAACGCUGGCGGCGUGCUUAACACAUGCAAGUCGAACGGUAAGGCCCUUCGGGGUACACGAGCGGCGAACGGGUGAGUAACACGUGGGUGAUCUGCCCUGCACUUCGGGAUAAGCCUGGGAAACUGGGUCUAAUACCGGAUAGGACCACUGCCUGCAUGGGUGGUGGUGGAAAGCUUUUGCGGUGUGGGAUGGGCCCGCGGCCUAUCAGCUUGUUGGUGGGGUGAUGGCCUACCAAGGCGACGACGGGUAGCCGGCCUGAGAGGGUGACCGGCCACACUGGGACUGAGACACGGCCCAGACUCCUACGGGAGGCAGCAGUGGGGAAUAUUGCACAAUGGGCGCAAGCCUGAUGCAGCAACGCCGCGUGAGGGAUGACGGCCUUCGGGUUGUAAACCUCUUUUAGCAGGGAAGAAGCGAAAGUGACGGUACCUGCAGAAAAAGCACCGGCUAACUACGUGCCAGCCGCCGCGGUAA